CCUGAUACAUUUCCUAUGGCGUCAGCCAUUUUAGUGAGGGUUUACCUUUCCUUUAAUUGACAAUAUGCAAACUCCUGCAGACAUUCAUACAAAUUAUUUUUCCUCUCCCUGGUCCACUCCCAUCUGGUUCUUCAUUCUCUGGUUUCCUUAGGUGAGAAGACAAUGAGGUAGAGCGAAAAGCCCAGGCGUCAGACCCAGGCCCAAAGCAGGUCUCAGGCACAUCUUUACUGGUGAGGUGAGGAAAAGACGAACAGCUCAGGAGCAUCUGUGCCAAGCACGGGACGUUGGAGAUUAAACAGGGGCCACCACUGAGUCGACUUCUGCACAGACAGAAGCAGGCAGCAAGAACCAAACAUCCAAACAAGCAAAUGAGAUUAUGUGCAUAUGACUUGAAACAGUAAAGUGCUGUCAAAAUAUUAUUAUAAAAAGUAUUGUUCGUCAUGUAAGCAUUCUUUAAUGCCUCAUCCAUGAAAAAGAAAAGAUACAUGUCAAUAGUAAUUUAUUUGAAAUUUCAGUUUUUCACUUGCAAAGACCAAAAUGUAAAGGAAUUAAUUGGCAACACUAUAGACAUUGUGAAUUUUAUUCAUUUCAUGAUCUUGGGCGGGUCACUUGGGCUAGAAUAAAAUACAUUUUCUUAAGCUUU